UGGAUCCGCCUAUGAGUGCGGGUGCAAGGUGAAGGCUUCUAAAAAAGAAUACAACGAAAGUAAAGGGUGAAGGGGUUAAUAUAUCCUAUUUGAGUUUGCAACUUGAGCGUAACGGAAUAAGAAGCAAGAGAAAGAGAGAGCAGGAGAGAGAGAGAGAGAGAGAAAAGUGCUGCGUCUGGUCAUCGUUUGCCGUGUGCAUCAAGUGCAUUCCUGCCGUUCAAAUUAAACUGUGUAUUCUAUGAAUUAUCAUACUGGUGCGUUCAAGUGUUGCACUCGUUUCUGUAAGCCUAAGAAUAAUAAUAAUAAAAAGAAAAACACA